rnacentral:rRNA from 1 species
UACGGAGGAUGCGAGCGUUAUCCGGAUUUAUUGGGUUUAAAGGGUGCGUAGGCGGGAUGCCAAGUCAGCGGUAAAAAUGCGGUGCUCAACGCCGUCGAGCCGUUGAAACUGGCGUUCUUGAGUGGGCGAGAAGUAUGCGGAAUGCGUGGUGUAGCGGUGAAAUGCAUAGAUAUCACGCUGAACUCCGAUUGCGAAGGCAGCAUACCGGCGCCCUACUGACGUUGAGGCCCGAAAGCGUGGGGAGCAAACAGG